ensembl:lncRNA
CGGACACGGGUCGGGCUUGGACAGAAAAAUUCGGUCUGAUCCAUGCUCUAAUGUGUGUGUGUGUGUGUGCUCUAAUGUGCAUUCAGCCCUGUUGUGUGUCAGAUUGAGGCUUUUGUGUGAGUGUGUGUGUCUCUGUGUGUGGCAUGGUGGCUCAGGUGCUUGGCUCACAGCAAGAAGGUCCUGGGUUCGAUUCCCGCAUGGGGCGCUGUUGGCUCUGGGGGGCAGGUCCUCCCCAGACCUCAUUGCUCAGGUGGGCUAUCUCCUGGGCCUUUCUGUGUGGAGUUUGCAUGUUCUCCCCGUGUUCACAAGGGGUUUCCUCCACUAAGAACCCCAACAGAAAAACAUGCAAAAGAACACUCUCCUGAUCAAGACGGACGGUUCAAGAUUGAGGUGUGUGUGUGUGUAAAAUUGAGGUGUGUGUGUGUGUGUGUGUAAGAUUGAGGUGUGUGUGUUUGUGUGUGUAAGAUUGAGGCUUGUGUGUCAGUAGGGCAGCAGACAUAAGGACAUUAUUCUGAGAAACGCACACAAACUUGAUUAGUUGAUUAGCUGAAAUGUGAAACUUUCUGCUGACAGAAGUCUAGGGUUCACACACACACACACACCUCUUCUUAUCUGACCUCCUAUCAUUUCCUGUGGUGAAACUACGAAGCCCAGUUCAUACAAAAACAGGCACAUGAGAACACACACACCAGGGACACACACUCACACUCUCACACACACAUCCAAAGACACACACUCACACUCUCACACACACACCAGGGACACACACUCACACUCUCACACACACAUCCAAAGACACACACUCACACACUCACACACACAUCCAAAGACACACACUCACACACUCACACACACAUCAGGGACACACACUCACACUCUCACACACACAUCCAAAGACACACACUCACACACUCACACACACAUCCAAAGACACACACUCACACUCUCACACACACAUCCAAAGACACACACUCACACACACACCAGGGACACACACUCACACUCUCACACACACAUCCAAAGACACACACUCACACACUCACACACCAGGGACACACACUCACACUCUCACACACACAUCCGAAGACACACACUCACACUCUCACACACACACACCAUGGAUGGCUUUUAGACUAGUGUGUGUGUGUGUGUGUGUGUGUGUGUGUGUGUGUGUGUGUGUGGUAGAGACAGACAGUGAACAGAUAACAUGCAACAUGCUCUGAUGACUGUCAUGCUUUUGCAGAUCGUUUGUUUGGUGGCGUCAGAGCGGACGACACACACGAGGAUCAGCCUGGGCCAGAUUGUUGGACUGACACCACAGUGCCAGGUCUGCCACUUGGUUCUGGUAGGGCUGCUCGUUGUUUUCGGAGAUUAGACCCAGCACCACUGUGUCGUCGGCAAAUUUAAUGAUGGAGGUUGAGCUUCCGGAGGCUGUGCAGUCAUAGGCGUAGAUGUUAUACAGCAGCGGGCUCAGAACGCACCCCUGGGGGGAACCUAUGUUGAGGGUCAGCGGCCCAGAGGUUACACCACCCUCUACUCUCACCACCUGGGGGCGGUCAGUGAGUCCAAGCCCAUGACAUGAGGGCCACAAGUCCAAGCCCAUGACAUGAGGGCCACACGCUGGAAGAAGAGGAUGGGGCGGAG